ACCCCCUGGCAAUGGGCAAGGAGACACCAGAUUGGUGGUGUCACUCUUACAUCCAUCAGGGGCAAAGCAGGUGCGGUCCUUAUUUCAUUCUAGCUGAUGCCUGUGUUGUUGGCCAGCUGUUUCAUGCCUGGGCACAUAA